CAGGGAGAUAGAGAGAGGAGGCUUCCUUUAGAUUUCAGACUCUUCUGCCUGUUAGUUUCUCUCUCUAACUUAACAAGAAAAAGAAAAUGCGUAAGAUAAGACGUAAGCAGGAAUUUGGUUUCUGGAAUCUUCGUCUGUAACAUUCUUCUUCCCCUUCCAUUCCCUAUAUAAUUACAAACAACAACAAAAGAAGAAGAGCUCAGCAGAAAUUCCUUCCUUCAAUCGGUUCGUUGGUUCUCUUGAUCGAUCUUCUUUAGUCUGCUGCGUCGGUUUGUUCUUUGGAAAUGAGCGAACCUAAGUAUGCUUAUCCAUAUCCCGCCCAAGGGUAUUACCAAGGGCCACCUGUAAUGGCUGCUCCUCCUCCCCAAUAUGCUGCGCCACCAGCUAGGAGAGAAGCUGGGUUCCUUGAAGGAUGUCUUGCAGCUUUAUGUUGCUGCUGUCUCAUCGAUGAGUGUUGCUGUGAUCCUUCCAUCAUAUUUGUUAGUUGACGAUGAUGAUGGUUCUGAUGUGCUUACACAGAUUAUUAUUCUGGUUUUCUUAAUGUUUGCUUUUGAUGGUGGAGGUUAAUUUUGUUGAUCAUGAUCUCUUUUAAUAGGAUAAUUAAGAUCCUUUUCCGUGUAUACUUCUCCACUUAUUUCAACUUCUUCUUCCUUUAAUAAUGUAAUGUAAAUGUUAAGAGAUUCUUAUGGUUUGUAGGUAUUGUUACUGUUUCAAUUAUACCCUUAGAAAAAUUAUAACCUAUGAUUGAACAAGAACUCCUUUUAUUGCUCC